UAGGUAGGAAGUAUCGAACUGGAUCACGAGGGGUCCUAUGGCCUGCUCUCCUGAUGUUCAGUGCCCUUCACCAGGUGCUUCUGAGGACAAGAAACUCUUUGGUGAGGUGUCUCAAAGAGACAGGCACAGUACCCUGCUUAAAGGGUUGAGCUUCUAGGACUGGCCCACUGUUGAAGUGUGAUAUCCACCCAUUCAAGUGCAACAGUUCCCCGAUGUGGCUACCGUGUGAAAAUGACUGGCCAACAUCAACUCUGCAAGAGCUGUCUGGAGCAUCCAUCUUAAUCAGAAGUUAAC
rnacentral:lncRNA from 1 species